UCAACCCCUGGUCAGGGAACUAGAUCCCACAUGUUGCAACUAAAACCCAGUUACCCAAGUAAAUAUAUUAGUUAAUUUUUAGAAAAGAAUUACUGAUUUAAGGCAAUAGGUAAGAGGAGAAAAACUAUGAAAUUGGCUGCUCUCCUUUUAUAUUUAACACUACCUAUAGUUUACAGCCUACUUUCUAUAGGUGAUACAUGGACCAUAGAGGUUCCACACACAAUGAAUGACCAGGCAUUUUUCAUAUGUUACCUAUAAUAUUCACAUUCACCUUGAAGGCAGAUAUUCCCAUCCCCUUUUUGCAAAUAGAGAAAUUAAGAAGCAUAAAGAUCACAUAAUAUGCCCCAGAUUACACAGCAAGUAAAUGCAAGGAAUACCUAUGAACCCAGGGCUUCAAAAUCAAGCUUCAAAAUCCUCAUUUCAUACUGGGCAAUUUAAGUGUUUACCAUCCACUAUAAAUGAGAUAUAAAAGACAAUAUGGUCUGAACACAUUCCUGACUUUUAUUUUCCUCCAAACUGAACAAAUAAAAUGUCAGAAAUAUCAUAGAAAUUUCUGUGGUUCAAUUGACAAACUCCAACAUUGAUGAAGAUCUGUUAUACACAGAACUGGCUACAGAUAGAGAAAAAGACCAAGUAACAGAGACAAAAAGAGAAAAGAAUUUCUACCUUAUUCAUGCUUAAAUAGAUGGAUAGAUAUGUAGAAAUACGUGCUUUUUUGAUUUUGAGAUAACUACAAAUAAUUUUAAGGAGCUGCAUUGAACUGGUCAGAAAAUUUUUUUCCAUUCUAUUUGCUGAAUUUUCUAAAUUUUCACUUUAAAUAUCAAAAUUGAUUUAGACAUGGUAAAUAUGUCCCUGAAGUAUCCAGAGUGACUCAUGAUCUUCAGAGAGCACUAUUGAGCUGGUAUCCUGGAGCAUUUUUGGCAAUAGAAUCUGGAUUUUUUUUUUCUUGAGAACAUCAAAAACCAACCCUGGCUAUAAUAAGCAAAACGGAAUUUAUUAGAAGAGCUUAGAGGAUUCCUGGAAAGUUGGGUCCCCCAACUUGGACAAAGAAUAGGAACCAAGUUGCUCUCAAGGGUCAGGAAGCAAGUUGUCAGCAAAGUUCUUGCAGCAGUAAGAAUGUCUUCUCAGCUGGUAACUGUUUUCAUCCCAGUGCUUCAGUGAUUCAACGUUCAGUCUCAAGAGUGUCUAAAUGUCCAGUCCUCAAUAACAUGCUCAGUACUCCUCUCCCUGCUCUUUGCCUGGUCCUACAGCCUUUCGUUCCCAUGAAGGAAAGAAGCCACUUCCAAAAAUGACUCACAGUAAAGGGUUCUCACAACAGAGGCUGAGAGACCAAAUCAGGCAGCCAGACAGUGGCUGCCCCACCACAAGCAGCCAUCCCACAGGAAGGCCUCAGAGACUAAAGUUUUUUCCAUAAACAAGAGGCAGACAGAGGACACAGCGGGGGAUCUGUCCCUGAAAUGCCCCAUAGGAUCCUGCUCAGAAAAAGCUCAAGCUAGUCUUGUAAAGGAUGAAAGAGUACAUGGAGAGAGGACCCAGAGUACAUGGAAAGAGGACCCAGCCAUGCCAGCCAAUCCAGCUUCUGCAGGUGAGAGCUACACACUGGCAGGGAACUGAGAGCUGCUGACCCUCCAUGGAGCAAAGCCAGACCCAAAGGACUGACCUACAGAACUGUGAGCAAGUGCUGGUCUGGAGGCUGGAAGUUCAAGAUCAAGGUCUGGCAGUUGGUUUGCAGUGAGAGCUCUCUUGUUGAUUUAUAGAGGACUGCCUUCUCACCACGUCCUCACGGGGCCCUUUCCUGGGGUGGGGGUGAGAGAGAGAGAGUUAUGGUGUCUCUUCUUAUAAGAAAUACCCCUAUCAGAUUAGAGUCCCAACCUUACAAUCUUAUUUAAUCUUAAUUAUUCCCAUAAAGGCCCUACCUCCAAAUAGAGUCACAUUGAAGUUAGGGCCUCAACAUGUGAAUUUUGAGGAAUUCAAACAGAGACCAAACUAACAGCAACAAACAGCCUUGCCCACUGUUGGCGGAAAUCAUCAGUAAAGGGUCAAUAAUAGAAAUGAAAAGGAGUCUUAUUCGUGCCAAACUGAAGACUACAGCCAGAGAGAUAUAGAUUCAAAAAGCCCUUGAAUUGUGUUCCCCUGGGCUACAAAAUAGAGGAGGUUCUAAAGGAAAAAACUACAAAAUCACAGCAGCUGUUCAUCAAGAAUUAAUUUUGGAGCUGCAAGAAAUAAGGAAGCUUGCUAAGCAAGGAUUGGUUAUGGUCUGAAAUGGUUGUGUAGUUACAAGAGGAGACCCUGAGACCUAAGGUUGCAGCUGGCAUCUGCCAGCAGACACUGUUAUGAGAACAGCUGGUGACAUCCUUGAGUCUGAUAUAGUUCAAAAAUUCAACUUCCCACGGAUGCAGGAAAUCACAUCCAUAACGGUCACCGGCUCCAGCUGGGUGCCUGAACCACUGUGACUCCAUUCUGAUUUUCAAAUGCAUCCUUUCCUUUAAAGGUUAAAGCAGAUGUACAGUGCAUGUUUAAUGGGCCAUAAAACAGGCUGUUUUAGUUACCAUAAAGUUUAGGUUCAAUCAUGUAUAAGCCAAAAUUACUUCCCCACAUCUCAAUAGGUAAAAACUUCUCCCAUCCCUACAUCAUUAUGUCUUGUGGCCCUGAGAAUGCAGCAUCCUGUUCCCUGGGCUCCAAAGGAAAUGCCUGAUUCAUUUUUUUUUUUAACCUCCCUCUAUCAUGGGACUGUGCCCAAGUUAUUCAAUCUUGCUGAGCCUUGCUUUCUCCACCUGAAAGUGGGUUGUGAGUAUUAAAUAAAACAACAACACAAAUUUCAUAAUCUAAUCCCAGCCACAUAGCAUCUACUCUAUAUACCUGUGCUCCCUGUUUUCAGUUCUCUUCAGAUGAUGCUUAUCAGCACAGCAUGUCCACCCUAGUCCUACUUGUUCAGCAGCAUCCGUGGACAUUUGUCCACCCAUAGAUCGUGUUAGAGGGCAGAUCCUAGCCUGGCUCACUCUGCCCCACUCUGCCUCUCUGAGCGAGCUUUACUCUGCAGACAUGCCAGGUGGAGAGCGUAUACCCCACUCUGUACAGCUGGGGUCCCCCAUGUACACACCCAGCUUCUACCCAACAGCCGCACCCAUGCCACUUGUAGAAAGUGGGGGGAGACAGAGGCUGCACUUCCACUGCUUCUGGAAGCAUUUGAUUUUUCUGAGAUGGGAGGGCCUGAGACAUGGGCUGAAGGCCCCGCUCCAAGGUGGGGAUCAGCAAAAGUGAUCCCCUGUGACAGUGAAAGCCCUGAACUCUCAGGACCCACGUGGGGCAGCAGGUCGCUGGCUUUUGGAUUCACACGGUGACCAAGGAGGCAGUUCACUCACGGGGCCAGUUCUGCGAUGUUGGUCUUGAAGUUAGCUCUGAAAGUUCCACCAGAGUCUUCCUUUCCAGACUGCGAUGAUUUUGUGGACCCAAUCCCCUGUAGAGUCUCUUUGUGCUCAAAUGUCCUGGAGUCAUCACCACCUAAAGCGGACACUGUCUCAGACAAGUGUGCAGAGGUCAAAGAUACACAGUACCUGAGGCUAUAGGUCCAUGGAACUCACACCCUGAAGUUUCCUGUGUGCUUGCUGUGGUCACCCCAGUGCCCAGAACUGCCCAGUAGACAGUUGUGAAACUGUUGACCCAACAUUGCCCCUUCAUUAGUUAUUGAUCCCUUAUUAGUUAUCUGCCACUGCCUAACUAAUUACCUCAUAUUUAAUGGCUUAAAACAAUACACAUCUGUUACCUUGCAGUUUCUAUGGUUCAGGACUCUGGGAUUGGUGUGGCUGAAUGAUUCUAGGCUGUGGUCAUCCCAAAGCUACCUGAAGGAGGCUCCCUUGCCAAGCCCCCGACCCUCACCCCAGGCUGUUGGCAGGAGUCCCCGUUCUUCACCAUGUGGACCACUUCCAGCUGCCGGAGCAGACUCACAACGCUGCAGCGUGAUUCUGUCCCCACAUGGUGGUCCCUACCAAAGAGCAGGUGACUUUCCCGAGUGAGUGAUUCAAGGGUGAAGCAGACAGAGACCCACACACAUCUGAGACCCAAGCUCCAAUCUCUGAAUAAUCUGCAUCUUAGAGAUAACAUCUCAUCUCAUACCUAUUAAGGUGGCUAUUAUCAAAAAACAAGAACAAGUGUUGGUGAAGAUGUAGAGAAAUCGGAACCCUUGUGUCCUGCUGGUGGAAAUGUCAAAUGGUGCCACUGCCAUGUAAGUCCAUUUGACAGUUCAUCCAGAAAGUUAAGCCUUGAAUUGUCAUAUGAUCGAGCAAUUCCACUCACAAGUAUAUACCCAGAAGAAUUGAAAGCAGGGACUUGUACGUCUGUGUUCACAGCUGUGUUAUUCACAAUAGCCAAAGGGGGAAGCCGUCCAAGUGUUCCUUGAUAAAUAAGAUAUGGAAUAUACACACAAUGGAAUAAUAUUCAGCCUUAAAAAAGGAAAUUGCAAAACAUGCUACAACAUGGAGGGUAUUAUGCUAAAUGAAGUUAGCUAAUCAUGAGAGGACAAAUAUGAUUCCUCUUGUAGGAAGUAGCUAGGAUAACCAAACUCAAAGAGAAAGAAAAAUGAUGGCUGCCAGAGGGUGGGGGCAGGGGGAAAUGGGGAGCUGUUCAGUGGGUGCCGUAUGUCAGUCUGGGAUGAAGAAAAUGUUCUGGAGGUAAAUGGUGGUGAUGGUUGCCCAACAAUGUGAAUGUCACUGGACCGAACCUUGCCCUGAAGAUGCCCACUCACAGCUCCUGUCGGUCAGGAUUCUGGGAGCAGCUCUGCUGUGAUUCUUGGUUGGGGCCUCUCACAGGAUAACUAUACACUGAACUGUUGUACUGAAAAUGGUUAAAAGGAUCAAUAUUAUAUACAUUUUACUACAACUUUAAAGAAUAAAUUAAAAAUAAGAUAGAAGUGACAGCUCAUCAUUUCUACCAAAUUCCCUUGGCUGGAAGUGAAUGACUCGAUCCUGCUGACACUCAAGGAGAGGGAACUCAGCUCCACCCACUGAGGGUGGGAGAGACACAGGAUGUGUGGGGUGUGUUUGUCCACCUCCACACCUGUUCAAGGCUUCCCUUCCAAAACAGGCACAACUGGUAGAAAAGUAGAAAAAUAUACCAGCUACUUAAGGAUAAAUCGCAAACUACUUCAGGGUGGACUUCCUGCACAGGAUGAUCCAAGAGGCAAGGAUAAGUGUUCCUCCUCAGGUUGUACUUCGAUUUAUCUCCUUAUACCCGUGGGCCCUGACACCUAAAUUGGUUUACCUCAGAGAGUAAAAUACUGAUAAGGAGAUUAGCCUAUGUAUAAAAUAGGUUAUCCAAACUCGGUGAAUUAUUCUUUAAGAAAGAAAAUUCUAUGGAUCAUUUUCACCUCUACCUACACGCCACUCGUACCUCCCCAGACUAUCAGGCUAAAGGCGUACUCUAGCUGAAAUAACUAAUAAUAAGUUAGUCAUGAACUGCCUCUUUGCGCCCCCUGGACUGUUGCCCACAGGUUCCUUUGGCCAUGGCGUUCUCCAGACCAGACUACUGGAGUGGCUUGCCAUUCCCUUCUCCGGAGGAUGUUCCUGACCCAGGGACUGAACCUGGGUUUCCUGCAUUCCUGGUGGAUUCUUUACCAUCUGAGCCACCAGGGAAGCCCAGGAAGAGAAACCGCUAACACAGGGAAGUGUACUCAAUAUCUUGUAGGAAUCUAUAAUGAAACAUAUGUAUUUAUGAAUCACUUUGCUUUACACCGGAAAUUAACACAACAUUGUAAAUCAACAACAUUUUAAUAAAUUUUAUUUUUAAAAAAACUUUAAAAAUAAAAAAGGAGAAAGAAAAUUCUAUCUUUUAUGAUUUCAAAUCAAAUGUAAUUACUUGAAGGACUGCAUUUGAAGUGGCACAAUAUUUGCAAGGACAACAUUCAAAAUUUGCAAUCUGUGAUUUUGUUGAAUUGUUAGGGUAAGUAUAUAAAACCAUAUUCUAAAGGCUUCUUGAUAUAUUCCCCUGUGAUCACCCUGGGCCUCUCAGUCACAGAAAGGAAUAGGGGUGAUCAUAGGCUAGGGGUGGUCAUAGGAGAGAGCGUGGCUGGAGAGAAACCCCUGCAUCUGUAAUUCCUUUCUAACGUCUUUAAAGUCCUGUGCAGGGGAAACAUCAGACAGAGAUCACUCUCAGGGUGGCAUUGCCACUUCUUCCCAAAGGAAUAUACUAACAAACAUGUUUUUAAAAAGUUCUCUCAAGUAGUUUAAUUUUUCCUCAGUAUAAUGAGGAAUUUAUUGUUUUUCUCUCUGAUUUGUUCAUCUAUCUCUUUCUGCAUUGCUUUUUCCUUUCUGAUGAAAGGCCAAACUAUUUCCAAUUUAAGCCAGCACCUCGAGGCUUUUGGUAAUCUUGUAGCUGCUCUCCUUCCUCUUCUCUUUUCCUUCCCCAGAGCCUAUUACCGAAGGGUUGCAGCUAUUUCUUAAUUUUAAACAGUUGCUUUCUGGG